rnacentral:rRNA from 1 species
GACGAACGCUGGCGGCGUGCCUAAUACAUGCAAGUAGAACGCACAGUUUAUACCGUAGCUUGCUACACCAUAAACUGUGAGUUGCGAACGGGUGAGUAACGCGUAGGUAACCUGCCUGGUAGCGGGGGAUAACUAUUGGAAACGAUAGCUAAUACCGCAUAAUAUUGAUUAUUGCAUGAUAAUUGAUUGAAAGAUGCUAUUGCAUCACUACCAGAUGGACCUGCGUUGUAUUAGCUAGUAGGUGAGGUAACGGCUCACCUAGGCGACGAUACAUAGCCGACCUGAGAGGGUGAUCGGCCACACUGGGACUGAGACACGGCCCAGACUCCUACGGGAGGCAGCAGUAGGGAAUCUCCGGCAAUGGACGAAAGUCUGACCGAGCAACGCCGCGUGAGUGAAGAAGGUUUUCGGAUCGUAAAGCUCUGUUGUAAGAGAAGAACGGGUGUGAGAGUGGAAAGUUCACACUGUGACGGUAUCUUACCAGAAAGGGACGGCUAACUACGUG